UUUAAAGAGUGCGUAAUAGCUCACUAGUCGAGUGACCCUGCGCCGAAAAUGUACCGGGGCUAAACAUAUUACCGAAGCUGUGGACUACACCAUUAGGUGUAGUGGUAGGAGAGCGUUCUAAGGGCGUUGAAGGUCGAUCGUGAGGACGGCUGGAGCGCUUAGAAGUGAGAAUGCCGGUAUGAGUAGCGAAAGACAGGUGAGAAUCCUGUCCACCGUAUGACUAAGGUUUCCUGGGGAAGGCUCGUCCGCCCAGGGUUAGUCGGGACCUAAGCCGAGGCCGAUAGGCGUAGGCGAUGGACAACAGGUUGAUAUUCCUGUACCAGUUGUUUUUGUUUGAGCAAUGGAGGGACGCAGUAGGCUAAGGAAUGCAUGCGAUUGGAAGUGCAUGUCCAAGCAAUGAGUCUUGAGU
rnacentral:rRNA from 1 species